rnacentral:rRNA from 1 species
UGGGGAAUCUUGGACAAUGGGGGCAACCCUGAUCCAGCGAUGCCGCGUGGGUGAAGAAGGCCUUCGGGUUGUAAAGCCCUUUAGGUAGUGACGAAGUGUAUGUGGGGAUAAUCCAUGUACAUUGACGGUAGCUACAGAAUAAGCACCGGCAAACUCUGUGCCAGCAGCCGCGGUAAUACAGAGGGUGCGAGCGUUAAUCGGAAUGACUGGGCGUAAAGGGCGCGUAGGCGGUAAAGUGUGAGUGGUGUGAAAGCCCCGGGCUUAACCUGGGAAGCGCAUCGCUAACUACUUAACUGGAGUACAAGAGAGGGUAGCGGAAUUUCCGGUGUAGCGGUGAAAUGCGUAGAUAUCGGAAGGAACGUCAAUGGCGAAGGCAGCUACCUGGCUUGAUACUGACGCUGAGGCGCGAAAGCGUGGGGAGCGAACAGGAUUAGAUACCCCUGUAGUCC